UACGUAGGUGACCAGCGUUGUCCGGAUUUACUGGGCGUAAAGAGCGCGCAGGCGGUCGUUCAAGUCGAGUGUGAAAGCCCCCGGCUCAACUGGGGAGGGUCACUCGAUACUGAUCGACUUGAAGGCAGGAGAGGGAAGCGGAAUUCCCGGUGUAGUGGUGAAAUUCGUAGAUAUUAGGAGGAACACCAGUGGCGAAGGCGGCUCACUGGUCCGGUACUGACGCUGAGGUGCGAAAGCGUGGGGAGCAAACAGG
rnacentral:rRNA from 1 species